AGAGGGAGCUUGCUUCCUCAAUCGAGUGGCGAACGGGUGAGUAACGCGUGAGGAACCUGCCUCAAAGAGGGGGACAACAGUUGGAAACGACUGCUAAUACCGCAUAAGCCCACGACCCGGCAUCGGGUUGAGGGAAAAGGAGCAAUCCGCUUUGAGAUGGCCUCGCGUCCGAUUAGCUAGUUGGUGAGGUAACGGCCCACCAAGGCGACGAUCGGUAGCCGGACUGAGAGGUUGAACGGCCACAUUGGGACUGAGACACGGCCCAGACUCCUACGGGAGGCAGCAGUGGGGAAUAUUGCACAAUGGGGGAAUCCCUGAUGCAGCGACGCCGCGUGGAGGAAGAAGGUUCUUCGGAUGUAAACUCCUGUUGUUGAGGAAGAUAAUGACGGUACUCAACAAGGAAGUGACGGCUAACUACGUGCCAGCAGCCGCGGUAAAACGUAGGUCACAAGCGUUGUCCGGAAUUACUGGGUGUAAAGGGAGCGCAGCGGGCGAUCAAGUUGGAAGUGAAAUCCAUGGGCUCAACCCAUGAACUGCUUUCAAAACUGAUUGUCUUGAGUAGUGCAGAGGUAGGCGGAAUUCCCGGUGUAGCGGUGGAAUGCGUAGAUAUCGGGAGGAACACCAGUGGCGAAGGCGGCCUACUGGGCACCAACUGACGCUGAGGCUCGAAAGUGUGGGUAGCAAACAGGAUUAGAUACCCUGGUAGUCCACACCGUAAACGAUGAUUACUAGGUGUUGGAGGAUUGACCCCUUCAGUGCCGCAGUUAACACAAUAAGUAAUCCACCUGGGGAGUACGACCGCAAGGUUGAAACUCAAAGGAAUUGACGG
rnacentral:rRNA from 1 species